rnacentral:tRNA from 1 species
GACGCUGAUGCCAGACGGUCUGGCGGCGGCCUGCAAAGCCGCCCCGCGCGGGUUCGACUCCCGACAGCGUCU